rnacentral:rRNA from 1 species
CACUCCUGCGGGAGGCAGCAGUGGGGAAUUUUGGACAAUGGGCGAAAGCCUGAUCCAGCAAUGCCGCGUGCAGGAUGAAGGCCUUCGGGUUGUAAACUGCUUUUGUACGGAACGAAAAAGCUCCUUCUAAUACAGGGGGCCCAUGACGGUACCGUAAGAAUAAGCACCGGCUAACUACGUGCCAGCAGCCGCGGUAAUACGUAGGGUGCGAGCGUUAAUCGGAAUUACUGGGCGUAAAGCGUGCGCAGGCGGUUAUGUAAGACAGAUGUGAAAUCCCCGGGCUCAACCUGGGAACUGCAUUUGUGACUGCAUGGCUAGAGUACGGUAGAGGGGGAUGGAAUUCCGCGUGUAGCAGUGAAAUGCGUAGAUAUGCGGAGGAACACCGAUGGCGAAGGCAAUCCCCUGGACCUGUACUGACGCUCAUGCACGAAAGCGUGGGGAGCAAACAGUAUUAGAUACCCCUGUAGUCCCAU